UCAGGUUGUCGGCAUUCCAAGUUCGAAAAAUGACCGUCCCUUCCAGGGUCUCAAGUCGAUAGGCGCCCGGCCUGCAGGUGUCUGCUACCUUGUAGGGUCCUUCCCAGUUUGAGGAUAAUUUUCCUUGAUCCUGAGGCUUCGAGACUUCCGUCUUCCUUAAAAUCAGGUCUCCGAAUCUGAAGGAUUUUGGCUUGACUUUAGCAUUGUAGUAUCGGGCCAC
rnacentral:lncRNA from 1 species